CAUAGGUUAAUGAGGCGAACCGGGGGAACUGAAACAUCUAAGUACCCCGAGGAAAAGAAAUCAACCGAGAUUCCCCCAGUAGCGGCGAGCGAACGGGGAGGAGCCCAGAGCCUGAAUCAGUGUGUGUGUUAGUGGAAGCGUCUGGAAAGGCGCGCGAUACAGGGUGACAGCCCCGUACACAAAAAUGCACAUACUGUGAGCUCGAUGAGUAGGGCGGGACACGUGGUAUCCUGUCUGAAUAUGGGGGGACCAUCCUCCAAGGCUAAAUACUCCUGACUGACCGAUAGUGAACCAGUACCGUGAGGGAAAGGCGAAAAGAACCCCGGCGAGGGGAGUGAAAAAGAACCUGAAACCGUGUACGUACAAGCAGUGGGAGCCUCUUAAUGGGGUGACUGCGUACCUUUUGUAUAAUGGGUCAGCGACUUAUAUUCUGUAGCAAGGUUAACCGAAUAGGGGAGCCGAAGGGAAACCGAGUCUUAACUGGGCGUUAAGUUGCAGGGUAUAGACCCGAAACCCGGUGAUCUAGCCAUGGGCAGGUUGAAGGUUGGGUAACACUAACUGGAGGACCGAACCGACUAAUGUUGAAAAAUUAGCGGAUGACUUGUGGCUGGGGGUGAAAGGCCAAUCAAACCGGGAGAUAGCUGGUUCUCCCCGAAAGCUAUUUAGGUAGCGCCUCGUGAAUUCAUCUCCGGGGGUAGAGCACUGUUUCGGCAAGGGGGUCAUCCCGACUUACCAACCCGAUGCAAACUGCGAAUACCGGAGAAUGUUAUCACGGGAGACACACGGCGGGUGCUAACGUCCGUCGUGAAGAGGGAAACAACCCAGACCGCCAGCUAAGGUCCCAAAGUCAUGGUUAAGUGGGAAACGAUGUGGGAAGGCCCAGACAGCCAGGAUGUUGGCUUAGAAGCAGCCAUCAUUUAAAGAAAGCGUAAUAGCUCACUGGUCGAGUCGGCCUGCGCGGAAGAUGUAACGGGGCUAAACCAUGCACCGAAGCUGCGGCAGCGACACUAUGUGUUGUUGGGUAGGGGAGCGUUCUGUAAGCCUGUGAAGGUGUACUGUGAGGUAUGCUGGAGGUAUCAGAAGUGCGAAUGCUGACAUAAGUAACGAUAAAGCGGGUGAAAAGCCCGCUCGCCGGAAGACCAAGGGUUCCUGUCCAACGUUAAUCGGGGCAGGGUGAGUCGACCCCUAAGGCGAGGCCGAAAGGCGUAGUCGAUGGGAAACAGGUUAAUAUUCCUGUACUUGGUGUUACUGCGAAGGGGGGACGGAGAAGGCUAUGUUGGCCGGGCGACGGUUGUCCCGGUUUAAGCGUGUAGGCUGGUUUUCCAGGCAAAUCCGGAAAAUCAAGGCUGAGGCGUGAUGACGAGGCACUACGGUGCUGAAGCGACAAAUGCCCUGCUUCCAGGAAAAGCCUCUAAGCAUCAGGUAACAUCAAAUCGUACCCCAAACCGACACAGGUGGUCAGGUAGAGAAUACCAAGGCGCUUGAGAGAACUCGG
rnacentral:rRNA from 1 species